rnacentral:rRNA from 1 species
AGCUAAUACCGCAUAACGUCGCAAGACCAAAGUGGGGGACCUUCGGGCCUCAUGCCAUCAGAUGUGCCCUGAUGGGAUUAGCUUGUAGGUGGGGUAACGGCUCACCUAGGCGACGAUCCCUAGCUGGUCUGAGAGGAUGACCAGCCACACUGGAACUGAGACACGGUCCAGACUCCUACGGGAGGCAGCUGUGGGGAAUAUUGCACAAUGGGCGCAAGCCUGAUGCAGCCAUGCCGCGUGUGUGAAGAAGGCCUUCGGGUUGUAAAGCACUUUCAGCGGGGAGGAAGGCGGUGAGGUUAAUAACC